rnacentral:rRNA from 1 species
GAUGAACGCUGGCGGCGUGCCUAAUACAUGCAAGUCGAGCGAACACACGAGGAGCUUGCGCCUUUGACGGUGGCGCCGGACGGGUGAGUAACACGUAGGUAACCUACCUAUAAGACUGGGAUAACAACGGGAAACCGGAUCUACUACCGGAUAAUAUAUCGAACCGCAUGGUUCGAGAGUUAAAGAUGGUUUUUCUGUCACUUAUAGAUGGCCCCGCGUCGGAUUAGCUAGUUGGUAAGGUAACGGCUUACCAAGCCAACGAUGCGUAGCCGACCUGAGAGGGUGAUCGGCCAGCCUGGAACUGAGACACGGUCCCGACUCCUACGGGAGGCAGCAGUCGGGAAUCUUCCGCAAUGGGCGAAAGCCUGAUGGAGCAACGCCGCGUGAGUGAUGAAGGUGUUCGGAUCGUAAAACUCUGUUAUUAGGAAAGAAGAAAAGUUUAAGUAACUGUGAUCGUCUUGACGGUACCUAAUCAGAAAGCCACGGCUAACUACGUG